rnacentral:rRNA from 1 species
UGGGGAAUAUUGCACAAUGGGCGCAAGCCUGAUGCAGCCAUGCCGCGUGUAUGAAGAAGGCCUUCGGGUUGUAAAGUACUUUCAGCGGGGAGGAAGGCGAUAAGGUUAAUAACCUUGUCGAUUGACGUUACCCGCAGAAGAAGCACCGGCUAACUCCGUGCCAGCAGCCGCGGUAAUACGGAGGGUGCAAGCGUUAAUCGGAAUUACUGGGCGUAAAGCGCACGCAGGCGGUCUGUCAAGUCGGAUGUGAAAGCCCCGGGCUCAACCUGGGAACUGCAUCCGAAACUGGCAGGCUUGAGUCUCGUAGAGGGGGGUAGAAUUCCAGGUGUAGCGGUGAAAUGCGUAGAGAUCUGGAGGAAUACCGGUGGCGAAGGCGGCCCCCUGGACGAAGACUGACGCUCAGGUGCGAAAGCGUGGGGAGCAAACA